rnacentral:tRNA from 1 species
GCGCCCGUGGUUCAAUGGAUAGAAUGCCGGUCUUCGGAACCGGAGAUGGGAGUUCGAUUCUCUCCGGGCGUACCA